AGCAGCCGCGGUAAUUCCAGCUCCAAUAGCGUAUAUUAAAGUUGUUGCAGUUAAAAAGCUCGUAGUUGAAUUUCGGGGUUCUACCGUUGGUCGGGCAAUAGUCUGUACUGGCGUGUAGAAUUUCUACCUUCUGGGGAACCAUCAUGUUAUUUAUUUAGUGUGGUGGGAAACCAGAACCUUUACCUUGAAAAAAUUAGAGUGUUCAAAGCAGGCUUACGUCUGAAUACAUUAGCAUGGAAUAAUAAAAUAGGACGGUGGUCCUGUUUUGUUGGUUUCUGAAUCACCGUAAUGAUUAAUAGGGAUAGUUGGGGGCAUUAGUAUUCAAUUGUCAGAGGUGAAAUUCUUGGAUUUAUUGAAGACUAACUUCUGCGAAAGCAUUUGCCAAGGAUGUUUUCAUUAAUCAAGAACGAAAGUUAGGGGAUCGAAGACGAUCAGAUACCGUCGUAGUCUUAACCAUAAACUAUGCCGACUAGGGAUCGGACGAUGUUAAUUUUUCUUGACUCGUUCGGCGCCUUACGGG
rnacentral:rRNA from 1 species